rnacentral:lncRNA from 1 species
AAUUCAACAUCUUUAGGAAAUGGGUAAUCACAUUUCCUGAUGUUUUCUUGUUUAUUAUUAGUGCAACCAAAUAUACUACAAUUGGCAUAAUGAAAAUUUUAUGAAUAAACAGUUACAUUUAAAUAAAAAUACUGUAUUGCUAUUGUGCUUGAUUUUUCAUCUAUUUGAAUAAAAUUAUUUUAAAUUUAUUGAAUAUACAAUGCUCAGUUCACUUGGCUUUAUAUCAUCAGUAUGGUGAAUAUUAGAAGAGAUGCAUGCAUUGUUACACUUUUUAUUCUUUAUACCAUGGAAGAAGUCUUUCUUUAGUAUUAGCAUAUUGCAUUGUUCAGUUUUUGCAUUGUUUAUUAAGCUGCCAAAUCACACUUCGGAUAUUUUAUAUCUGGUAGCAAGUACUUUUAGAACCCACCAAAAGCUGGCCAACAUCUGUGGUAUAGUAACUGUAAGAUUGAAAGAUGUUCAAAUCCAGGUCCUCUUAAGAUGGGAAGUGAAUGUUUUACCAUAUCAUCCAGCCAACCCAAGUAUGAAAUAGAGUGGAGGGAGUACACAAUGCAGCUGCCUCUUGCAAUUUUCUUCAUCACUCAUCGACAAUAAAUAUGUUAAAAAUAAUAAUAAUUCCUUAUCUUCAUAACAACUCUUAUAAGACUGCUUUCAACACUUUGAUCAGAGUAUAUAAGGAAAACAACACAAAUCGCAGUUGUGGGAACAGCAUUUUAAUAAGGCUAAUGCUUUCGGCAAUACAGUUCGUUGCCAUCUUCAGGCCUUUUGCACAAAAAUUAACAACUAAGAAUAAAAGAACAAAAACGAACAUAAACAUAAUUUAAGCAAAUCAGUUUCCAUGGUAACUCUAAAUAUUAGUUAAAUAUAGUAAACAAAGUAAAAUAUAGUAAAAAUAUAUAUAAAACAUAGGAAAAUAUUAACAUUAAAUUUUUCUGAAACAUACAAAAAAAUUCUUUUAGAAUAUGUAUAAAGGAUUUGUCUAAAAAAUAAUUACAAAGUUCUUAAGUGAGGGGUAUC